CUGCCAUCGCUGUCCCACCCAGCCCAUCUGCUCAGCUCCGGCAUCUGUCCUGCAGGUCACAGCAUCUCCAGGAAGGGGAAGCAUGAGGGAGCAGAAUUGUUUCAAGAGGAUGACUAUGUCUUCCAGAGAUCAGGAGAUCGUGCCCACCAUUCAGGAUUCCAGAGGGGCCCUGGAUCUACCAUUCUCUGGUUUUGAGAAUGCUGCCAUGCUAAUUUUACCAGUUCCUCUUUCACUCCUCUGAUCAGCCACAGAGCCAGCAUGCCACACUCUGGCCAUGUGCUGUGACCCCUAUGGUUCUGAAGGGGAAGUUCCCUCAGUUUAGCUCAGCUUGAGGGCUUAUCAGAGGAAUCCCCAGCAGAGGUGCAAGCAGAGCUAAUUCUCUUUUCUUAAUUAUUCUGGUAUCAGACAGACCUAGGUUCGAAUCCCCCUCUGUCUCUUACUACCUGUCUCUUCAGUCAAGUUAAUGCUAUCAGGUAGUUAUUACUGUAUAAAAAACCACCCCACUCAUGUAGUUGUAGAUUAAUGAUAUAAAAAAAAAUCACCCCAACCCCUAGUUACUUUAAGCCACAACCAUCUAUGAGGUUCAUGAGUUUAUGGAUUGUGCAAGUAGUUUUUUGGAUGUGGGUCAGUCCUGCCCAAUCUCAGCUGGGCUCACUAAUGUGACUGUGGCCAGCUGUAGGCCGGCUGACAGAGGGUGGCCUCCAGUGGGGCAGCUGGGCCCUGCUGCAUAAGCUCACUCAUCUUCCAGCACGCUGGCCUGGACUUGUUUCCAUAAUAUGGCUGGAAUUCCAAGAGAGAGAGUGAAAGAUCAACAGACCUGGCUUCUGAAGAUAAGAGCUGCAGAGUCGCAUUGCAGAGACCAUGAAGAUAAGGGUGGUGAACUGGAGCCAACACACCAUAUCAUUUAACCUGUCUGAUCCUCAGUUUGCUCAUUUAUAAGUUGAGAAUAAUGUGACUUGUAUUAUGUGAUACUCGGGUGUUCUGUGUCCUUCCAGGGGAUGGCCAGUCAGGGGCUGCCAUGAGAAGGGGCACAGGAGAGAUGUGGGAAAGCAAAGUUCAUUAUACUCAUAGGUCCUGUAGAGACAGAGUCAGUGCAGGCUGAGAGGGGUUUAUAAGGAGAGAAUACCAAGGAGAGAAUACUGGCUGAGUGCAGCCCCAUGGGCAAAGGCCUUAACUGGGGGUCAGGUUGGGGUACACAAGCAAAAGGUAAAAGAAGAUUUCAUUGGUGUGUCUUUGUGUCACUAGGUCAUGGUCAUGGAGGGCGUGUAGUAAGGCGAACUUGUGUCACGGGCCCACCUUAUCACACUGGUGUACCUGGUCCCCUGGACUGGAGGCUCAUAGCCUGUUUGUGGGGAUGUUGAGGCAGCAGGAAGAUCUGACCUUCUAAAAUUUACAAUACAUAUAGUGAAACUUGGUCCCAUGAUUUUGUUUUGAAAGCUAAUCUUAAAAAAUCUAACAGGCCUGGGACUAGAUUUGCCUUUGGAGAAAACCAUUCCCUCGUAUCAGGGAGAGUGUUUGAGUGGGAGGUCUUCAGUCCCAAUAAUCAGAGGAUGAUGCAUAAUAAGGAUGCACCUCCUGUCUGAGCAGAGACUACGAGACAAUCCUGGAACAGAGAAGCGAGCUGCUUUGCUUAGUUUAGCAUUCCCACAUUCCUUUAUUUGUUCAUGAAUUCAUUCAUUUAUUCAGAGAGUCAAUCAUAAAACAUGUAUCAAGAGCCUGUUAUGUAAGAGACUUUUUAGGAGAGAAACUUCAUGAGCAAAGCCCUGGAGGUAAUAGGAAAGGGAACAUCAAGGUGGCUGGAGGAUUGUGUGAGAUGUAUCUUCAGGGGCUCUUCCUUGUAAGCCAUGUGAUGAGUUUGGCCCAUGGCCUAAAGGAAUACAGAGCCAUUGAAGGCUUUAAGCAGGGAAUGGCUUGGUUAGCUUUGUCAUUUCUAAAGCUCUCUCAGGCUACUGUGUGGCAAAUGAACAGGUGGUUGGUGGCAUGUAGUGGAGGGAAGGGACUAACUAGGUGAUGUUCCAAGCAUCUAUGCCAUUGGUGCUAAUGGCCUGGCUCACCAUGAUGGCAGAGAUAGAACUGGAUGGACUGGAGAGACAUUUGGGAGCUAGAAUUAGUGAGACUUGCUGCAUGGUGAGAGAGAGGAAAAGGAAAGGAAGGACUGGUGUUUGACAUUCGGUUUCUGUUUUGGACACUGGAUGGAAGAACCCACUGGCUGAGAUGGAGAACCCAGGAGGGACAGAAGAUGAAUCAAGCUUUAGCUGCCUGACCUUUGAGGAACCCAUGUGGAGGCAGCUGGUAAACAGAUACAAUCAGAGCUCUGGAGAAAGGUGUACUUUCAAAGUACAGAUUGGAGAGUCAAGCUAAGACAUGAGAACCAAAGCCCGGAAAGGGAAGUGCUGGGUGUGGCCAAGCCACAGUAGCAUCUCUGAGCUUCCUUGCUGUUGGGGAGGGAUGGUCCAUCCUCUCUGCAAGGAUUUUGACUAUUUUGUUCCUAUAAACAGUUGUUUGUUCCUGGGAGAGAGAGAGAGAGAGACAGAGAGAGACAGAGAGACAGAGACAGAGAGAAAGAGAGAAAGACAAAGAGAGAGAUAGAGAAAGCACAUGGUUUUGGCCAGCACAUCCUUAAGGAUGGUGGAAGUGGUGCCUAGGCAGGAACCGAUCCCACACUGCAUCAUUCUUGAAGGACACAAUUCCUGAGACAGAAAAUGCAGACUGGGGGAGCUGGGCCUGUGACUGCCAGGGAGGACCUCCAGCUCUAUUUCUGUCUCCUCAUUUCCUUUUCCCCCAUCCACCAAUGAGGGGCUGUCACCACAAGCGCAGCUCAGACCUCCCUCACUUAAACCACUAUGAUCAAGUCAGCCAGGCUUGGCUUUCAAUAAGCUACAAGGAAAAAAUUAGAAAACUGUUUCUUCUUUCAACUCUAUUUUCAUGGCUAUCAUGUUCUAAAGAGGCUCAGGAAAUCAGCUUUGAGCUUCCAAUGUGAGAGAUGUUUCAGACAGUAUCUGUCCUUGGGCAAAAAACCUUCUUGG